UACGUAGGUGGCAAGCGUUGUCCGGAUUUAUUGGGUUUAAAGGGUGCGUAGGCGGUCGGAUAAGUCAGUUGUGAAAUACUUCAGCUUAACUGGAGAGGUGCAAUUGAUACUGUUUGACUUGAGUACUGAUGAGGUAGGCGGAAUGGACGGUGUAGCGGUGAAAUGCUUAGAUAUCGUCCAGAACACCGAUAGCGAAGGCAGCUUACUAAGGAGUAACUGACGCUGAGGCACGAAAGUGUGGGGAUCAAACAGG
rnacentral:rRNA from 1 species